GAUGAACGCUGGCGGCGUGCUUAACACAUGCAAGUCGAACGAUGAAGCCCAGCUUGCUGGGUGGAUUAGUGGCGAACGGGUGAGUAACACGUGAGUAACCUGCCCUUAACUCUGGGAUAAGCCUGGGAAACUGGGUCUAAUACCGGAUAGGAGCGCCUACCGCAUGGUGGGUGUUGGAAAGAUUUAUCGGUUUUGGAUGGACUCGCGGCCUAUCAGCUUGUUGGUGAGGGAAUGGCUCACCAAGGCGACGACGGGUAGCCGGCCUGAGAGGGUGACCGGCCACACUGGGACUGAGACACGGCCCAGACUCCUACGGGAGGCAGCAGUGGGGAAUAUUGCACAAUGGGCGAAAGCCUGAUGCAGCGACGCCGCGUGAGGGAUGACGGCCUUCGGGUUGUAAACCUCUUUCAGUAGGGAAGAAGCGAAAGUGACGGUACCUGCAGAAGAAGCACCGGCUAACUACGUG
rnacentral:rRNA from 1 species